rnacentral:rRNA from 1 species
UACGAAGGGUGCAAACGUUGCUCGGAAUCAUUGGGCGUAAAGCGCACGUAGGCGGCCUCGCAAGUUGGAUGUGAAAUCCCUCGGCUCAACCGAGGACGUGCAUCCAAAACUGCGGGGCUUGAGUACUGAAGAGGAUCGCGGAAUUCCCGGUGUAGAGGUGAAAUUCGUAGAUAUCGGGAGGAACACCAGUGGCGAAGGCGGCUCACUGGUCCAUUACUGACGCUGAGGUGCGAAAGCGUGGGGAGCAAACAGG